GCUCACUUCGGCAACACAUACUAAAAUUGGAAUGAUAUAGAAAAAACUGGCAUAGCCCCUGCGCAAGGAAGACACACAAAUUUGGGAAGGGUUUCAUAUUUAA